AAACAGGGUGCGCUGUCCACCAGACCGAGUUCUGGAAGUGAACUGGAAGUGAAUGAGGGAGAUUUAAGUGAGGUGGAAGGUGUGGUGAGGAUCUCGCAAGCUGAGCCUUGCAUUGAUGGACAUGGUUAUGAUAAAGAUGAGUUUUGCCCAGUGGGAGUUAGAUUCUUGGAGAAAGUGGAUCCAGGCCUUUUGCUGGACAAAUCUUUUUGCUCGAACUGGUUCUGCAGAAGGUUAUAUCCACUAAUACAGGACUAUUAAAGGCCCAGUGCACUAAUUUUGUGGACCAAAAAAAGUUACAUUUGUAUUUUUUAUUCUGCAGCACCCCUACUUCCAGUGGUAUGCCUGUGAGUAGUAGAUCUGUGCCAGCACAGAGGAAUAGGCCAAGGAGUGAUAUAUGCUUCAGUAAGGUGGGCUUCUUAGAGUUCAUAGCAAUGGUUAUCAACUGUACCUCAGAAAUGGAAUGUCAAUCACAGAAAAUAGAUGUUGUGUUGGCAGCUGCAGUACUUGGUUGUACGAGAUUUGACUUCUGAAGAGUUAGAGAGUGUGUUGAGAGGUGGUGUCCUGUCCUCCCAGACCGUUGGCAUGGUGCAGGAGCAGAUAGGGUCAAAGUAGUGGAAUUGGGUAGUCAGAAGGGUGUAUUAUUAUUUAAUAAAUUGGGUAUAUAUCUUUGGGGUAUCACAAAGUAUAAUGGAUUUAUACUAUAGUCCAGUUGGGGGCAUUAAUGCAACAUAUUAGAUGCCAACCGCCGUUAAACCCCUCCGAAGAAGAUGAAGAAGAAGACAUGCAGCACUGUCUCACAGGCUGCAUGUCGCCCCCAAGACCAGAACCAAUCGCAUGCAGGGAACAAUGAGUCAUCAAAGCCACAUUCAAACAGAGCCAGAAAGCUGAAGCCUAGAGAAAAAAGGCAGUACAUCAUUGGCUAAUAAGACAAGAUGGAGGAAAUCUAGUGAUUCAUCAACAAGGAACGCUGUGAUAAGAGGAAUGGUGUCUCUGAAGCAUUGCAGUACAGAUUAUGUCCCAAACCCAGACCACCCUGCGGACUUCCUGCCUUAGCUGUGAGGACAUGAGUUCUCUCACCAAGACUACAAAGGAUUCCCCCUGUUUACAUUUGCCUCCUGGUGAAAUGGGUUACACUUUAACUCUUAUUUAAGCACUGCUGUUUGUUGUUUUGCUAUUAUAUUCCAACACACAGGUUCUCCUCCCGGUGUGUGUUCUGAUAGAAGCACUGUGGAGGCAAUGUUCAAAUUAGACCUGUGACAAUAAAUGCGCUGUUGAAAAA